UACAGAGGUCCCAAGCGUUGUUCGGAUUCACUGGGCGUAAAGGGUGCGCAGGUGGGUUUGCAAGUUCGAUGUGAAAGCCCCCGGGCUUAACCCGGGAAUGGCAUUGGAUACUGCAGAUCUGGAGGAUCGGAGGGGGGGGACUGGAAUUCUUGGUGUAGCAGUGAAAUGCGUAGAUAUCAGGAGGAACACCAGGUGGCGAAGGCGACGUCCCUGGACCGAC
rnacentral:rRNA from 1 species